GGGGCAUUUUGUGGUGGAGAGAAAAGAAAAUGAUAACUUUGAGUUUUGUGAAAAUUCUACAUCAUUAUCGUCAUCGCCAUUAUCGACGGCAAAACUUGCAUCUUUGUCAUCUGGAGAUGAUGCUGAUGAUGAUGAUUGAACUGGGUUUUUGAUUGCUUGUAUCAUUACAAUUUUUUUUUUAAUAUAGAAAUGUAAUUUUAUAGGUAUAAACUGUGAAAACGGGUUCUUCGAGGCAAUGAUGAAAUGGAUUUCUCAAAAACUUACUUUUAU
rnacentral:misc_RNA from 1 species